UACGGAGGGAGCUAGCGUUGUUCGGAAUUACUGGGCGUAAAGCGCACGUAGGCGGCUUUGUAAGUUAGAGGUGAAAGCCCGGGGCUCAACUCCGGAACUGCCUUUAAGACUGCAUCGCUUGAAUCCAGGAGAGGUGAGUGGAAUUCCGAGUGUAGAGGUGAAAUUCGUAGAUAUUCGGAAGAACACCAGUGGCGAAGGCGGCUCACUGGACUGGUAUUGACGCUGAGGCGCGAAAGCGUGGGGAGCAAACGGG
rnacentral:rRNA from 1 species